rnacentral:rRNA from 1 species
AGUGAACGCUGGCGGCGUGCUUAACACGUGCAAGUCGAACGAGAACGGGUUAUAGCUUGCUAUAAUUGUCAGCUAAGUGGCGCACGGGUGAGUAAUGUAUAGGUAAUAUGCCUCUUACUAAGGGAUAACAAAUGGAAACGUUUGCUAAUACCUUAUACUCCUUAUUAACAGAAGUUAAUAAGGGAAAGAUUUAUUGGUAAGAGAUUAGCCUGUAUUGUAUCAGUUAGUUGGUGAGGUAAUGGCUUACCAAGACUAUGACACAUAACUGGUUUGAGAGGAUGAUCAGUCACACUGGAACUGAGACACGGUCCAGACUCCUACGGGAGGCAGCAGUGGGGAAUAUUGCACAAUGGACGUAAGUCUGAUGCAGCAACGCCGCGUGGAGGAUGACACAUUUCGGUGCGUAAACUCCUUUUAUAUGAGAAGAUAAUGACGGUAUUAUAUGAAUAAGCACCGGCUAACUCCGUGCCAGCCGCCGCCGUAA